rnacentral:lncRNA from 1 species
UGCUUAACCCAGACACAUAGUUUUGUGUCUAUCAUAUCUCCACACCCCAACAUUCUUUCUCUCUGAUUUUCACAUGCCCCAAAGGUCUUUCAAUGCUUUGUAAUCCAUGAAAAUCUCAAGAAAUUAGUUUUAAAUAAAGAGAUAUGAAGAAUCUUUGUCUAGGUCAAAUACAUAGUCAAGGAAAAUCCAAACAGGGCAAGACAAGGGGUGCCCAACUCUUGGGCGCCCCCUUCUUUUUCUACCAUGGACCACCAGCAAAGGGCGCACAAUAUGUGCCAUAAAA